UAUUAUAUAAUUCUAUAAUUGAUUAAAACAUAGAGUUUUAAAAUAAAAUUAUAAAUUAUAAUUUAUAUUAAUUUUAAAAAAAAUUUAAUUUUAGUUUAAAAAUUAAUUGUAAUUUUUUAUAAUUAUAUAUAUAUAUAUUAUAUAUAUAUAUAAAUUUAAGAAUAAUUUAUUUUAAAAAAAAAUUAUUAUUUAAUAUAAAAUUUUAAUUAUUAAAGAAAUUUAUAAUUAGAAAUAGUUUCAAGUAAAAAUAAAAAUUGUGCCAGCAAUUGCGGUUAUACAAUAUUUAUAAAUUAAUUAGGUAAAUAAUAAUAAAUUUAUAAUAAAUUUUUAAAAAAAGUUAAAUUUUAGGUUGAAUUAAAAUUUAAUUAAAUAUAAAUAAUUUAAAUUAAAUGAAAAUUAAAAAAAUAUGUUUUUAAAACUAGGAUUAGAUACCCUAUUAUGGUAUAAUAAAAAAAAAUAUUUAGGUAUUAAUUGAUAAAUCACUAAACUUAAAAAAUUUGGCGGUAUUUUGAAAAAUUUAGAGGAAUUUGUUUUAUAAUUGAUAGUCCACGUAAAGAAUUACUUAAAAAAAAAGUUUAUAUAUUUCCGUAUAAAUUAAUUUUUAAAAAUAUUAUUUUGAUUUAUAUAAAUAAAUUUAUUAUUUAUUAAUAUAAUUAAAUCAGGUCAAAAUGUAGCUUUUUUUAAGAAAAAAUGAAUUACAAUAAAUUGUAUAUUUAAAAAAAAUUUUUAAUAAUAUAAAAUUAGAAUUUAAAAGUAAAUUUAAUUAAUUAAUUAAAUUGAAUAUUUUUCAAAAUAUGUACAUAUUGCCCGUCAUUUUCAAAUAAAUUGAGACAAGUCGUAACAAAGUAAAAAUUCUGGAAAGAGUUUUUAGAAUA
rnacentral:ncRNA from 1 species